rnacentral:rRNA from 1 species
UACGGAGGGUGCGAGCGUUGUCCGGAAUCACUGGGCGUAAAGGGCGCGUAGGCGGCCCGCCAAGUCAGGGGUGAAAGCCCCCCGCCUCAACGGGGGAAGGGCCUUUGAUACUGGCGGGCUCGAGGGGGAUAGGGGCGGACGGAACUUCCGGUGGAGCGGUGAAAUGCGUUGAUAUCGGAAGGAACGCCGGUGGCGAAAGCGGUCCGCUGGGUCCCCACUGACGCUGAGGCGCGAAAGCCAGGGGAGCAAACGGG